AUCUCUAGUGGAAACUUUUGAAUGACGUUGGGCAAACCCAUCCGGAUAACCACUUCGAUUCAAUUCUCGUCAUGCGUAUGGCCGGGCAUGUUGUAAAUGCCGGGUGAAAUUAGGAAUUGGAAUUCAAAAGAGGCAGCAGAAAAAAACACUCUCGCACGCUCACUGCCACAUGCAGCUUCCGGUUCGGUUUCUUCGUCGUCGGGUCGGCCUGAAAAAGACCAGUAGUGUAGUGCAGUUGCCGAGCGCCUCGCCAAAGGAACCGUGAGGAAAUGGAAAAUUGGAGCAUUUUAUUGUGCUUAAAUUGCGCCCCCUCCAUGCACAGCCGUAUGCACGGGUGCGUAGCCAAUCGAUCAGUACUGUCGGCAGGAGGGAACGAACAAGAUGCGGAUGCGGGAUUUACGUCAUCGCGCGUGGUUAUUGCAGUAUUGCGGGCGAUGCUGCUACGGUGCUGAAACGUCUACAGCAUAUGGUGCAAAUCGGCAUGACACGAACAUGCAAUGAUCGGAUGAUUCCCUUUUGGGAAGUCGGCCGUUUGCGUCGUACGACUGUUUGGAUUUGGAAGUAUUUAAUGCACGGGGUAUGGUUGAGCUGCUGUUAUGACGACACAGGAUCUGGAACUAUACAUCAAUCGGAGGGAUUGUCAGGCGUAACGUGGGGUUUAUUAAAAAAGCUGAAAUUUACUUGAUUUAAGGCGGUGACACUCUUUAGAUCAGUGUAAGGAACGUAAGGUGAGGGGGAUAAGUUAUUAGUUUAAUUGAUGGUCGAAUGGCUACCAAAUAUCCGAAUGUAACAAAUUUUCAAAUUUAGUUUUGUUUUAACCAAUUUCCGUUAUUGAUUGUACGAAAAUAACAAACAAUAUUCCAUUUGUUAUUGACAUAAUGAUUUGAAGACCAGGAACGCCAGGGCCUGAGCGACCAUAGUGAUAAAUAAUUGGAGGCUUUCCAAGAUGAAUAUCCUACCCUAACGCGACAACAAUUUGCGAUUUCGUGUGAAAUUACUGUCCUGGCUUGGUGCCUUUAAAACUGAUUCUGAGAGAUGUUUAUCUUUUUUUUAAAAACGAAGUGAAUCUAUUUUAAAUCAUUUUUUUUUCAAAUCCAUAAUGCAAAUGCAUAAGUUUUUGUUACGAAUGCUGUGCCUUUAUGUUUUGGCGAAUGUUAGUUAGAAGGAAUAAGUUAUAAUAAGUAAUAUAAAAAAAUGUAUUUAAUAAUAAAAAAAAUCUUCCAAUAGCA